ACGAGGUCAGGAGGUCGACACCAUCCUAGCUAACACGGUGAAACCCCGUCACUACUCAAAAAUACAAAAAUUAGCCGGUCGUGGUGGUGGGCGCCUGUAUUCCCAGCUACUUGGGAGGCUGAGGCAGGAGAGUGUGCUAUGGAAGACAUAUGCAUGGAAAACAUCCAGAAAGUAAGUGGUUCUCAAAAAAGGUGCUUUCAAUUCAAGUUUACAUAGCAAAUUCAACUAAGGGCAAUACAUUUCUAGAGAAGUGACAUGGCAAAGGAAAAGGACUUUGAGUCUCUGGUGGCAGCAACUUGUGAGAAGGCAAAUAAAUGGGAGAUAAAGACCAGUUGGUAAAGCUUGUUCAUAU
rnacentral:lncRNA from 1 species